GGUUGAUCCUGCCAGUAGUCAUACGCUUGUCUCAAAGAUUAAGCCAUGCAUGUCUAAGUAUAAACCGCUCGAACGGUGAAACUGCGAAUGGCUCAUUAAAUCAGUUAUAGUUUAUUUGAUAGUCCCUUUUUACUACUCGGAUAACCGUAGUAAAUCUAGAGCUAAUACGUGCGGAAAGGGCCGACUGGGGAGGGGCGACUCUCUUCGGGUAGGUCCGUAUUUAUUAGAUACAAAACCGAUACGGGGCAUCCCAAACCGGCGGGAAGAAGGGUUUUUCUCGUUCGCGCGAGGUU
rnacentral:rRNA from 1 species